rnacentral:rRNA from 1 species
CACGUAGGGCGCAAGCGUUGUCCGGAAUUAUUGGGCGUAAAGAGCUCGUAGGCGGUCUGUUGCGUCCGCUGUGAAAACUCGGGGCUUAACCCCGAGCCUGCAGUGGAUACGGGCAGACUAGAGGUAGGUAGGGGAGAAUGGAAUUCCCGGUGUAGCGGUGAAAUGCGCAGAUAUCGGGAAGAACACCGGUGGCGAAGGCGGUUCUCUGGAACGCAACUGACGCUGAGACGCGAAAGCGUGGGGAGCAAACAGG